ensembl:lncRNA
GAGAGAAGAUGUAAGGAUGGGAGUAGAAGUCAGAGGGAGAGAAGAUGCCUCACUGCUUACUUUAAAGAUGGAGGAAGAGGCCAUGGGCCAGGGAACGUAGGUGGCCUCCAGAAGAUGGAAAAAGCAAGGAAAUGAACUCUCCCUUAGAGCCUCCAAAUAGAACGCAGGCCUGCAGACAUCUUGAUUUUUGCUCAUUGAAACCUAUUUUUGACCUCAAGGCUCCAGAACUUCAAGAUAAUAAAUGUAUAUCGCUUUAAACAAUUAAGUUUGUGGUACUUUGUUAGAGUAACAAGAGGAAAUGAAUACACUGUGUGACCUUCAACAAGGUCCUUUUGCCAAAGAUUUCUUAUCUGCAAAAUUACUUCCCUGAUGGACCAGUGGUUAGGAAUCCACCUACCAUUUCAGGUGGCAGAGGUUCAUUCCUUUGUACAGGAAGCCUCCACGUGCCACUGGACAACUAAGCUCAUCCUCCACAAGGGAAGCCAUCGCAGUGAGAAGCCCGCACACUGCGACUAGAGAGUAGCUCUUGCUCCCCACAACUAGAGAAAGCCUGCACAUAGCAAUGAAGAUGCAGUGCAGUGACAAAUGAAUCAAAUAAUUUUUUAAAGCCAAGAGGUAAAUUUCAAUUAAAAAAAAAUGAGCUACUAAGAGGAUCGUGCAUGCAUGCUAAGUCACUUCAGUGGCAUCCGACUCUUUGCAACCCCAUGGACUGCAGCCCUCCAGGCUUCCCUGUCCAUGGGACUCUCCAGGCAAGAAUACUGGAGUGGUUUGCCAUGCCCUGCUCUAGGGGAUCUUCCCGACCCAGUGAUUGAACCUGAGUCUCAUGUCUCCUGCAUUGCAGGUGGGUUCUUUACCACUGAGACACCUGCGAAGCCACUGUGAGGAUUAAAGUUAAUAAAUGUAAAACAGUUGAAACAGUGCCUAACACACAGUUAUUACAGAAUAUUGAGUAGAAUUCCCUGUACAAUACCAUGUCUGAAAGAUUGCAGAGUAGAAGAAUGUACACUUAUCUUCCCCUGUGAGAACACCGCUAAACAACCAUUGACAGGAUGAUGUUGGAACCCACGAAAAAAAGAUACCCCGUCCAAGGACAAAGGAGAAGCCGCAGUAAGAUGGUAGGAGGGGUGCAAUCAUGUUUAAAUCAAGCCCCAUACCCACCAGAGACUCUUGGAGGGCACAAAGAAAAACCUUGUGUGCACCAAGACACAGGGAAAGGAGCAUUGCAGCCCACAAAAGACUGAGCCAGACCUGCCUGUGAGUGUUUGAGGGUCUUCUGCAGAGGCCUGGGUCAGCACUGCAGUACGUGAACACUGGCAGCAGCAGUCCUGGGAGGUGCGGUGUGUGGCAUGAGUCCUCUUGAAGGAGGUCACCAUUAGCCCCACCAUAGAGCUUCCAGUCAUCUGAGUUAAAUUCACCCAUUCCAGUCAUUUUAGUUCACUGGUUCCUAAAAUGUUGAUGUUUACUCUUGCCAUCUCCUGUUUGACCACUUCUAAUUUACCUUGAUUCAUGGACCUAACAUUCCAGGUUUCUAUGCAGUAUUGUUCUUUACAGCAUCAGCCUUUACUUCCAUCAUCAGUCAUGUCCAUAACUAGAUAUUGUUUUUCCUUUGGCUCCAUCUCUUCAUUCUUCUGGAGUUAUUUCUCCACUCUUCUCCAGUAGCAUAUUGGGCACCUACCGACCUGGGGAGUUCAUCUUUCAGUGUCAUAUCUUUUUGCCUUUUCAUACUGUUCAUGGGGUUCUCAAGGCAAGAAUACUGAAGUGGUUUGCCAUUCCAUUCUCCAGUGGACCACAUUUUGUCAGAACUCUCCACCAUGACCCGUCCGUCUUUGUUACUUUGCCAACAAAGGUCCAUCUAGUCAAAGCUGUUUUUUACAGUAGUCAUGUAUGAUGUGAGAGUUGGACUAUAAAGAAAGAUGAGCACUGAAGAAUUGAAUCUUUUGAACUGUGGUGUUGGAGAGGACUCUUGAGAGUCCCUUGGACUUCAAGGAGAUCAAAACAGUCAAUCCUAAAGGAAAUCAGUCCUGAAUAUUCACUGGAAGGACUGAUGCUGAAGCUGAAACUGCAAUACUUUGGCCACCUGAUGCAAAGAGCUGACUCCUUAGAAAAGACCCUGAUGCUGGGAAAGAGUGAAAGCAGGAGGAGAAGGCAAUAACAGAGGAUGAGAUGGUUGAAUGGCAUCACCAACUCUAUGAACAUGAAUUUGAGCAAGCUUCAGGAGUUGGUGAUGGACAGGGAAGCCUAGCAUGCUACAGUCCAUGGGGUUACAGAGAGUUGGACACAACUGAGCAACUGAACUGAACUGAACUGAGAGCUGCUGGUAGGUGAUCUACAAACUGGAGAACAAUUAUAGCAAAGAAGUUCUCGCACUGUUGUGAAAGUUCUAGGCCCCAAAACAGCCUUCCCAAUAUGGGAAUCUUUGGCAAAGGGCCUGGGAAUCCUCAGGGAAUCUGACUUUGAAGGUCAGUGAGAUUUGAUUACAGAACUUCCACAGGACUGGGAAACAGAGACUCUUGGAGGGCACAAACAAAACCUUGUGUUCAACAG